UUUGGGACCAGGGUGUAUGAGGAGGUAGGAAGGCGUGGCCCCUGCACGAGGCCUGGCUGGGAAACGCCGCUGUGAUCACAUCGUUCAUCACUCACUGCUGACCACCUGACAGUUUUCCAGGACCAAGCCUCCUGCACUGUGUGAUUCUGGGAACAUCUCCUCUGGCUCACAAGGUCUGAAAAGCAAACCAGUCAGCUAUGGAAGUCAGAGACUCCAAAUGGAGGGGCCGGCUGAAGCCAUGGCAGAAGAACGUGGAUUGUGAAGAUUUCUUGGACAUUUAUUAGUUCCCCAAAUUAAUACUUUUAUAAUUUGUUAUGCCUGUCUUUACUGCAAUCUCUAAACAUAAACUGUAAAGAUUUCAUGGACACUUAUCACUUCCCCAAUUAAUACCCUUGUGAUUUCCUAUGCCUGUCUUUAAUCUCUUAAUCCUGUCAGCUGAGGAGGAUGUAUAUCGCCUCAGGACCCUGUAAUAAUUGCAUUAACUGCACAAAUUGUACAGCAUGUGUGUUUGAGCAAUAUGAAAUGUGGGCACCUUAAAAAAAGAACAGCAUAACAGCAAUUGUUCAGGGAAUAAGAGAGAUAACCUUAAACUCUGUCCACCAGUGAGCUGGGUGGAACAGAGCCAUAUUUCUCUUCUUUCAAAAGCAAAUGGGAGAAAUAUCACCGAAUUCUUUUUCUCAGCAUGGAACAUCCCCGAGAAAGAGAAUGCGCACCUGGGGGUAGGUCUCUAAACUGGCCCCACUGGGCGUGGUCGUCUCUUAUGGUCGAGACUGCAGAGGUGAGAUAGACUCCAGUCUCCCAUAGCGCUCCCAGGCUUAUUAGGAAGACGAAAUUCCUGCCGAAUAAAUUUUGGUCCGAUGGUUGAUCUCAAAACUCUGUCUCCUGAUAAGAUGUUAUCAAUGACAACAGUGCCUGAAACUUCAUUAGCAAUUUUAAUUUUGCCUCAGUCCUGUGGUCCUGUGAUCUCACCCUGCCUCCACUUGCCUUGUGAUAUUCUAUUACCUUGUAAAGUACUUUAUGUCUGUGACCCACACCUAUUUGCACACUCCCUCCCCUUUUGAAACUCCCUAAUAAAAACUUGCUGGUUUUUGUGGCUUGUGGGGCAUCACGGAACCUACUGACAUGCGAUGUCUCCCCCUGACGCCCGGCUUGAAAAUUUCUCUCUUUUGUACUCUGUCCCUUUAUUUCUGAAGCUGGCCAAUGCUUAGGGAAAAUAGAAAAGAACCUACAUGAAUAUUGGGGCAGUUUCCCCGAUAUCAAUACAUAUAACUAUGGACACUCAAAAAUAUUUUCAUAAGGAAACAACAUCAGGUUUGGAGGCUGUGAUCUAGAUAACUUUCUGAGUCAACAUUUUGCUCCUGAUGCAUUCAUGGCUAUCAAGCCAUCUUUCCUUUCUUCCCCUCACCUACCAUAUUCUGACUUCUACUCCUAGAUUAAUUUCUCCAAGAGGACAGAACAUAUUAAGAUGUGGUGGGUCAGAAUGUGCAGGUGGUAGUGGUGACACCCAGCUAAUGAGUGUGAGAGGCAUGGGUCUGUAUCUCCUCAGCUUUCAAGAUUACAGCCUGAGCUACACAGAAAGAAGCUCUGUGUCCAUUUUAUUAGCAACUUCACAACUUGCUUCUGAACCUGAUAAGGAAGCAAUGAUAUCCCAUUCCACUAGGUGGCAGCAAAACUUUACCCACAAGGUGCCCAAGUGGUUCACUGGUAUUAUUAGUGCUAACUUGUUCAGCCCCACUUUAUUAGCAGAAAGACAGUGGCUAACAGGAUACUUCAAUUACAUAAUGCCUCUGACAGUGGAGAACAGACACUGCC
rnacentral:lncRNA from 1 species